CCCAACUGGUAAAUGUCUAAGACCUGCAUCACUUCGGACUUUCCUCCCACAUUAAGAUGACAUGCCGUGAUAUGACUGUAAUACUGUUCAAAGUGGUGUUGAAACAAACACACUCACUCACAAUGACUGAAGUACUGGAUUUUCAUCCACAUUUAUCAAAAAUGGGAGGCAUUUGUUUCAUUUUGUUUUCAUCAUCAACUUACCAAGCUACUAUGUAAGUUUAUUUUCAAGGGAUGUGAUUCACAUGGAACAUGAGUGCAGUAGGCCUAUAUGGUGUAUUGCAUCAAGUAAAGAAAUUAGAAAACACACGUAAUGAUUUUCUUCUUCUGUAGGUACUAAAUAAUGUAAUUAUUAUGGCCUAAUGUAAGCAGUUAUAAUCAUGAUUAUCAUACCACCAAAUCCCAACAUCACCAUAAUUACUGUGAGUUUAGUAUAACACUAAGUAAAUUACUCAAGAUAUUUUAAGCAUUUUCUGACAUAGAUAUUGUAAUCCGAUUAUGGGAACAAUGAACUAGUAUUUCUUUUAAAAAGAGACUGAUUUUGUCCAUAUAUUACUCAAAACAAGUUACGUAAAACCCAAUUAACUAUAGUAAUAGGAAAAAAAUGGUUCUUUAACUUCUUUUCAGUAGUAUAUGCCACAAACUACUUGAAUGAAACCUUGUUAAUCUAGAUGCUUGUUAUCUGGUGGGUAAAUCUUAGUUAAUGAGUUACUUGUGUUGCUAUUAUCUUAGCAGUAACCAUGCAAUAGCUAAGUUUUUUUCUGAUUGCUGAGGUCCAGAUGAUUCAAUAGCUUGGCUUUCUUCUGAUUGCUGAGGUCCAGAUGAUUCAAUAGCUUGGCUUUCUUCUGAUUGCUGAGGUCCAGAUGAUUCAAUAGCUUGGCUUUCUUCUGAUUGCUGAGGUCCAGAUGAUUCAAUAGCUUGGCUUUCUUCUGAUUGCUGAGGUCCAGAUGAUUCUAUAGCUUGGCUUUCUUCUGAUUGCUGAGGUCCAGAUGAUUCAAUAGCUUGGCUUUCUUCAGAUUGCUGAGGUCCAGAUGAUUCAAUACCUUGGCUUUCUUCUGAGUACUGAGCGCCAGAUUAACAAGGUUUGACACUGUUUGUAUAAAUAGUUUCUGUAUUUUUUCCUAGAGGCAGGUACUAUUGUGAUUAGAUGUAAAAGUUUGCUUAAAAUAUGGUGUUAGUGAUACAGCUUGUUUGUGAACGUAUUUUCAACAUGACUAAGUUAACCACACAAGGCGAGACACUGCUUUACACUCACUCAUAGCGUGAGGCAGAAAAGAUAAAUCCAGAUCAAAUUGACCUUAAAAGAGCUGAUAUCAAACACAUUUUACAGCACAGACUGCGGACACAGUAUAUUUUUAGUGAUCCUCACCAAGAGGAUAAAUAUUUGGAUUUCAUGGCCUUUUUGGAUACUUAGGAUACAAAGGAUACUUCAAAAGAAGUUUAUCGCCAUGCUAUUUCUAUGUUUCAGCUGGUAAUUUCCACCAAAUAUGCUGUCAUGAAUUGUGUUCAUGAUCAGUUACGUAGAAGCUGAUUGACUUUUUUAAAAAACUUGCCUGAAAAAUGCUUACCUUGUGGUUUAUCCUGUAGUUUGUGCAUUAUGCUGAAUCAGCAUAUUUUUUUAAAGGUUAAUUUGAUGCAUGUGGUGUUUAUUUGGCAAACCUGUCACUGAUGAUUAAAGCCCUUUUACCUUGUUGUGCUGAUUAUGCAGUGUAAUUAUUGUACUUUCAAGUGUAAUGACAGUGAAAUGGAAAAGAAUUAGAAACAUUUCCAUUGCACCUGAAUGUUGUGUUAUAAGAAAGGCAGUUUGAGCUACAGUUCAGGAAAAUAAACGCCAACUGAAAUAAAA
rnacentral:lncRNA from 1 species